rnacentral:rRNA from 1 species
AUUGAACGCUGGCGGCAUGCCUUACACAUGCAAGUCGAACGGCAGCACGGGUGCUUGCACCUGGUGGCGAGUGGCGAACGGGUGAGUAAUACAUCGGAACAUGUCCUGUAGUGGGGGAUAGCCCGGCGAAAGCCGGAUUAAUACCGCAUACGAUCUACGGAUGAAAGCGGGGGACCUUCGGGCCUCGCGCUAUAGGGUUGGCCGAUGGCUGAUUAGCUAGUUGGUGGGGUAAAGGUCUACCAAGGCGACGAUCAGUAGCUGGUCUGAGAGGACGACCAGCCACACUGGGACUGAGACACGGCCCAGACUCCUACGGGAGGCAGCAGUGGGGAAUUUUGGACAAUGGGCGAAAGCCUGAUCCAGCAAUGCCGCGUGUGUGAAGAAGGCCUUCGGGUUGUAAAGCACUUUUGUCCGGAAAGAAAUCCUUGGCCCUAAUACGGUCGGGGGAUGACGGUACCGGAAGAAUAAGCACCGGCUAACUACGUG